rnacentral:rRNA from 1 species
CGAGUUCAAUAUGUCAAAAAUGACUCUCGGCAACGGAUAUCUCGGCUCUCGCAUCGAUGAAGAACGUAGCAAAAUGCGAUACGUGGUGUGAAUUGCAGAAUUCCGUGAACCAUCGAGUUUUUGAACGCAAGUUGCGCCCAAUGUCAUCCGGCUGA